rnacentral:tRNA from 1 species
GGCGGAAUUGGUAGACGCGCACGACUCAAAAUCGUGUUCCUUCGGGAGUGAGGGUUCGAUUCCCUCC